GCGGGAGUGCCAGAGUGGUCAAAUGGGCAAGAUUAAGGCUCUUGUAGCUUAGUGCUUACGCAGGUUCGAAUCCUGUCUCCCGCA
rnacentral:tRNA from 1 species